GGUAGACCCUGUCACUGGCAUGGUUAUGAAUUUAACGGAUUUAAAAAAGUAUAUGCAGCUUGCCAUUAUGAAUAAUCUAGACCAUAAGAAUCUUGAUAAAGAUGUCCCUUUCUUUAAGGAUGUGGUAAGCACCACUGAAAAUUUGGCAGUGUACAUUUGGGAUCAACUUAGUUUGUUAUUGCCAUCCCCUGGACUACUCCAUGAAAUCAAAAUUCAUGAAACAGAAAAAAAUAUUGUCGUGUAUAGAGGAGAUCGUUGUUAACAGCAUUUCCCCCCCUGCAUUUUAAUGUAAUGUUUGUUGUAUAAAAGAGAUUUUUAUAAAGAUACAAAUAGUAACAGUUAUAGUGAGUACUUAGUACAUAUGUAAUUUUUAAUUUUCUUUUGUGUGUAAGAGGUGUAUUACGUAUGUAAUAAUUUUAUACUAGUACCUAUAUGUGAGCACAAGUUAAGUAUUUGUUCAAGUUUUUUGUGUAUAUCUCAGCAAUGCAGUCAAAUUUCAUAGAAUUAACAAUCAAAGACAGCACUUUUAAAAAGUUUGCUUUAUUUUCACAAAUUCAUCUUUAAAGCAUUUUUUAGUUUGGUCCUUUUGAUGCAAAGUUUAAUUCAGGUAUCACUCCGUGUUCUGUGGAAACUGGAAACCUGCCCCAACUAUCCAAAUACCUAUGCUGGAAAUGGCAAAAGAAAACUCGUGUGUGGGAGAUGUUAGAAAGUUUUUAUGCUGUUCUUUGUUUAGUUUCUGUUUUAGGAAACUGGAACACAUGUGGCUCUUUGCUGAAAUAUUUUAUGACUAGAAAUUUUUUUGUAUUAAAAGCAUUUUUUAUGUAUUUUAUUUGCUUUCACAUUAAUGAAAAAGCUCUAUUGUUUUAUACUGUCUGACAAUAACUAAUGAAACACUUUGUUUUCAUUUAGAAUUUUUUAAAGCAAAUUCAUUAACAUGAUUGUCUCAUGUGCUGCUGACAGAUUUUAAGCUAUGUUGACAUCAUUUGUGGUGAAAAAAAUAUCAAUCCUUUUAACAGCAUUCAGUUGUAAUAACUGUUUUAUUUUGUGUAUUUUAUACAAUUGCAAUAACUGUUUUAUUUUGUGUAUUUUAUAAAUAAUUGUAUAUAUGUACUGGAUGUCCCAGUAAAAAUGUAACCCAAGAAUGUGAACACCAUUUAUUUUUAUGUUUUAAAAAAAUUAUAUACAACCCAUAUAUUUUAAUGAAAGCUAGAGAAGUUAGCAAAAUAUCUGGUACAAACAAUGUCACUAAUUCUAGUGGCAAAAAUUAUUGUCACUUAAGUGGUCUCCUCAUUCUCUCCACCUUAACCCCCCAGAUUUUUAUUUGUGGGGGUGUUUGAAGGAAUGGGUGUACACAAACCCCCACGCCAUCCCAGAACAGCAAUCACUCUGGAAAUUGGACCUAUACAAAAAGAUUGCAUCAAGGCCAUUGACAACUUUGCCCAAAGAAUUCAAGUGUCUUCAGCAGAACAGAGCACGUCUGGAGCACUUCUAUGAAUGAUGAUAAGACCUUAGCCAGUAUA